rnacentral:rRNA from 2 species
AGGUGUGAUUAUACCAGCACUAAUGCACUUGAUCGCAUCAGAACUUCACAGGCAAGCGUGCUUGGGUGAGAGUACAACUAGGAUGGGUGACCACCUGGGAAAUCCUCAUGUUGCACCUC